UGGCUCAAAGGGUAAAAGCAUCUGCUUGCAAUGCAGGAGACCCAGGUUCAAUCCCUGG
rnacentral:tRNA from 1 species